AUAUACAGAGGUUGUAACAUAGAGGAAGACAGGCUGAUAUAUAUACAGAGGUUGUGACAUAGAGGAAGACAGACUGAUAUAUAUACAGAGGUUGUGACAUAGAGGAAGACAGGCUGAUAUAUAUACAGAGGUUGUAACAUAAAGGAAGACAGGCUGAUAUAUAUACAGAGGUUGUGACAUAGAGGAAGACAGGCUGAUAUAUAUACAGAGGUUGUGACAUAGAGGAAGACAGGCUGAUAUAUAUACAGAGGUUGUGACAUAGAGGAAGACAGGCUGAUAUAUAUACAGAGGUUGUGACAGAGGAAGACAGGCUGAUAUGUAUAUAGAGGUUGUGACAUAGAGGAAGACAGGCUGAUAUAUAUACAGAGGUUGUGACAUAGAGGAAGACAGGCUGAUAUAUAUACAGAGGUUGUGACAUAGAGGAAGACAGGCUGAUAUAUAUACAGAGGUUGUGACAUAGAGGAAGACAGGCUGAUAUAUAUACAGAGGUUGUGACAUAGAGGAAGACAGGCUGAUAUAUAUAUAGAGGUUGUGACAGAGGAAGACAG